CUCUUUCCCUCAUUUCUCUCAACCCUUUGCAUUCUAGAGAGAGAAGAAGAGAGGGAGAAGGAGAAGAAGGAGAAGAAGAGGAGAAGGAGCUUGCUUGGAGGCCUUGGAGCACCAUCUUCUUCCUCAUUUCUCACCUUUGGAGGCUUGGAGCUUGCUUUUGGAGCUUUGUGGUGGAUCAAACUUCAACCCUACUUGGUUUUGAGCUUGGAUUGGAGCUUCUCUUGAGGUUGGUAGCUUGUAAUCC
rnacentral:lncRNA from 1 species